CUCGUAGACUCCUACGGGAGGCAGCAGUAAGGAAUAUUGGACAAUGGGCGCAAGCCUGAUCCAGCCAUCCCGCGUGCAGGAAGACAGCCCUAUGGGUUUUAACUGCUUUAGAAGGAAGAAACGCUACAUUUAUGUGGUUUGACGGUACCUUCAGAAUAAGCACCGGCUAACUCCGUGCCAGCAGCCGCGGUAAUACGGAGGGUGCGAGCGUUAUCCGGAAUUACUGGGUUUAAAGGGUGCGUAGGCGGGCGAUUAAGUCAGAGGUGAAAGCUUUCAGCUUAACUGAGAAAUUGCCUUUGAUACUGAUUGUCUUGAAAUAUGUUGAGGUUAGCAGAAUGUGGCAUGUAGCGGUGAAAUGCAUAGAUAUGCCAUAAGAAUACCAAUUGCGAAGGCAGCUAACUGGGCAUUAUUUGACGCUGAGGCACGAAAGCGUGGGGAGCGAACAGGAUUAGAUACCCUGGUAG
rnacentral:rRNA from 1 species